UUGUCUGAUGAUGAAUCCAUCUGCACUUUUGCCAAAAUAUCAGUUACAGCUAUCUCAAGCCAAAGGACUUCAUCAGAAAAGUGUGAAAAGGUAGGGGACAUUCUUAACAAAUAUAGUCUCACAAAAUAAAAACUUCAAAUUGAUUUUACUGAUUUAUGGUUUUUUUUUUCUUUUUCAUGUGUUGAUUGUCUCACUGACUGCAUGGAAAUGGAUAAUUGUCUGACCUGCUUCAACGUUCUUCGUUUGAAUUCACCCACGACAAUGGCUUGAACAAGUAUAUUCCCUCCUCACAUCACUUACUUUCAAUUUUAAUAAGAUUGUUUGAUACUUCUUUUGUUUCUACUGGUUUGGUGCCUCUCUUUGCAGAUGUUAACUACAAUUUAAGCAGCGGUGUGAGGAGCCUGUCUAAGAAAUUUUGAUCCUAAAUUAAUCAAUUUUUGUCCUGUAGGGAAGCUCAAUUGUGGUUUCUCCGUGGGUGAUAGCUACAAGCUGGUGAUAGCCAAGACUUGACCGAUAAAGAGACUUUCCUUUUGUGUGCUCUCAGGUAGUGCAUUGAAUGGGUAAUUUCCAAUUUCACAAUUUUUCUCAACUCUAUUCUCAUACACCGUUUCUAGGUAGAGUCUCAACUCAACGUGAGUCUUAUUCUAAUUCAUUCAGCCGUCCUCCAUUCUAACUCAUCUUUUUCUUCUUGUUUAUUAAACAGUAAUCUCGGGGAUGCAGACACUUGAGCAGAUAGAAAACAAGGAGAACAUCCCUUACCCAAACCACCAUUGCAGUGGACCUUAAAGCAGCAAAUUACAAAUAUAGCUCAAGCCAAAAUCAGCCUUCAGAAAAAUGUGAAAAGGUAGCUCACAUUCUUUCCAUUCUGGUACCCAAAUCUGGUUUCACGUUCAACUUGUAGUAGUUUCUUUUUGUGUGUUGAUUGCCUCAUUGCAGGGGAACGAGUAUUAAAGUCAAGCCAUCAGAAAGCAAAAACUAGAUGGUGGACAAUCAAGACAGGUACGAACCAAAUUAAUGGUUUUUUUUUUUAAUUUCAUGUGUUGAUGUGUCGUUUCACUGACUGCAGGGAAAUGAGUGUUACGAACAUUGCCAGCUACUAGCUCUACCAAUCUGAUUCACUGAGUAUGUAGCCAAUCACAGG
rnacentral:lncRNA from 1 species